AUAUAUAUAUAUAUAUAUAUAUAUAUAUAGUUGAGCUAGAAUACUCUCGAUAGUAAACGAGCCGUUUUAUUAUCGAGUUGUUUUCGAUGAUAGAGCUUUCAAAUUGACGAUCGGCUCCGUUAAAUAUGAUCUAAACCAUUCAAACUACCUAGAAAUCAAAUUUCACGCACUUUCGAUAUUAUUUUUUAUCCAUCUAGUGAACAGAAAAAUUAAUGGCUGAAAUAAAUAUUCUUUAAAAAAUAAUGAUAGGAGUCUUGUAAUCAAGAUCAAGAGUAUAGAUAUUGUUUUAAAUAGUUUAAAGAAUUUUCUAACAAAAAUUCAAUUGAUUUGGAUAUCUUUACACCGUUAAACAAGAAAACGUCCCUUAUCCACCAUUAAAAUUACAAAUUUUGAAACCCUUUAAUCAUUAGGCAAAUGAUGUCGAAAAGAUUUGGAAUUUGAUUUCUAAACACUUCAAGUGGUAUAGAUCAUGUUCAACGGAGCGAUCGUCAAUUUGGAAGCUUUAUUAUCGAAAACAACUCGAUAGUAAAACGGCUCGUUUAUAUAUAUAUAUAUAUAUAU
rnacentral:lncRNA from 1 species